ACCCUUCCAGUUCAUAAACAUGUUGAUUGGAUGCUCACAUAUUUGUGUGAACUGUGUCUCUCUUAAAUCUCAUUAUACAUUUGGAAUAUUACCCUUCUGAUG